rnacentral:rRNA from 1 species
UGCAGUCGAACGGUGAAGCCCAGCUUGCUGGGUGGAUCAGUGGCGAACGGGUGAGUAACACGUGAGCAACCUGCCCUCCACUUCGGGAUAAGCCUUGGAAACGGGGUCUAAUACCGGAUAUGAGCACUCAUCGCAUGGUGGGUGUUGGAAAGUUUUUCGGUGGGGGAUGGGCUCGCGGCCUAUCAGCUUGUUGGUGGGGUGAUGGCCUACCAAGGCGUCGACGGGUAGCCGGCCUGAGAGGGCGACCGGCCACACUGGGACUGAGACACGGCCCAGACUCCUACGGGAGGCAGCAGUGGGGAAUAUUGCACAAUGGGCGCAAGCCUGAUGCAGCGACGCCGCGUGAGGGAUGACGGCCUUCGGGUUGUAAACCUCUUUCAGCAGGGAAGAAGCGCAAGUGACGGUACCUGCAGAAGAAGCGCCGGCUAACUACGUGCCAGCAGCCGCGGUAAUACGUAGGGCGCAAGCGUUGUCCGGAAUUAUUGGGCGUAAAGAGCUCGUAGGCGGUCUGUCGCGUCUGGUGUGAAAUCCCGAGGCUCAACCUCGGGCUUGCAUCGGGUACGGGCAGACUAGAGUGCGGUAGGGGAGACUGGAAUUCCUGGUGUAGCGGUGGAAUGCGCAGAUAUCAGGAGGAACACCGAUGGCGAAGGCAGGUCUCUGGGCCGCAACUGACGCUGAGGAGCGAAAGCAUGGGGAGCGAACAGGAUUAGAUACCCUGGUAGUCCAUGCCGUAAACGUUGGGCACUAGGUGUGGGGCUCAUUCCACGAGUUCCGUGCCGCAGCUAACGCAUUAAGUGCCCCGCCUGGGGAGUACGGCCGCAAGGCUAAAACUCAAAGGAAUUGACGGGGGCCCGCACAAGCGGCGGAGCAUGCGGAUUAAUUCGAUGCAACGCGAAGAACCUUACCAAGGCUUGACAUGUACGA